AAGAGAAACCAAACCAAAACAGGGGAACCCCAGACAGAGGAGCUCCAGACAGGGACGGAGAGAGAGACGGAGAGAGAGACGAGGGAAGAUCAAUAAAACAACGAGAGCCUGAGCGCUUCAAACACUGAACAAUGAGAAGAAUGUGCUGGAGUGCCUGAGGGAGGGAAGCCCUGCUGGAGUUCAGCCUAAACAGAAACUGUUGCUAUGUGAAACGUCACUGUUAUGUAACCCAAUCAGCGCCCGCUCACGUGCUGCACAGAAACCCACGUGCCGUGUGCAAAACCACAAACACAGUACUGUAGUUUUUUACGGUAAACUUUUUUUAACAUGUAAAAUGUCCAAAAUCCACACGUUUACUCACAUGAUAUUCAUAUGACUUUUCUGUGAAGACUCUUAAUGGGGUUUUAUUGAGCUGUAUGUAUGUAUGUAUAUAAUAUAUGAAUGCUGUUUGUUCCAUGAUUAAGGUGCCAUUUACCCACUGUAAUUCUAAAAUAUGAAAAGUGAUUUAUUUGUGUUUUUAAUAUUUUCAACCUUGAUUAAAAAAAAAUAGCUGUUUA